CCAUGGUAACCAGAAUUUCACUGAGAGGCUGCAGGAGCUUGUGGCCCUCAGGAGGGUCCUCAAUGGAUCCAGGGUCAGCAGCCAUACAUCGCGGAGCAAUGAAUAGACUAAUAGUGCACACAUCUGGUGCGUAUCUUGCUCAGAAGGAAGCUCUAUGACCAGACCGCGUCUGGUACAGGAGCAUGACAUGGCAUCAGAAAUAAACUAAGAAUAGAAACAGAUGGGAAACAGCAACAAAAGUUGGAAACAGAAGGACCAAGCAUCGAAGGUUGCAGGAUCUCAUCAAAGUGCCACUCUUCAAUGCCCCAGAGAACUUCAGCUUUGACAAACCUUCAGAAUGGACAGACUGAACACAAUAUUUUGCAAGUUUUUGUAUUGCUACCAAGUUCCACAGUGAAACUGAUGAUAUUCAGAAGCUACAGUUGAAGACAGACUUAACCCACAUUAGCCACAAUUGAAUAGAGAGGCUGGAAUAAACUGUAUAGACAGCCAACAAAAUCCUAUAGCAGGAAGAUCCAUUCCUUGCUCUUCUAAGUUACAGAUCAACACCAAUAGUGGCUACUGGAUAUAGUCCCUCACAAAUCCUGAUGGGAAGACAGCUCAGAACUAUUGUUCCAACUUUGGAACAGAAACUAUCUCAAAAGUGGCCAGACAUGAAGACAGUAGCCAAAUCGGACAAAAAGGAAAAAAAUACCAAAAACCACUUUUACAACUGAUGUCACUCCGAGAACAGCUGGGUCUAGAACCUGGUGACUGUGUUUGUGUCAAAUUGGAUGCAGAGAAAAAGAAUUCAGCACCCAGAUCAUAUGUGAUUGAGACCAACAGUGGAUAGUUCAACAGAAACUAUUGUCAUCUACAGUUUGUUCCUCAGCAAGAUCAACAGAGCAAACUCUACAGAUGGCGGAUGCAAAAGAAGUAGACACAAGGAUUCCAAACUGAACAUAGCCAGUCAUUGCAAUUAAUCGACAGCCAGAUGAGCAAGCUGUUAUGUGUUUGAGUUGUGUAAUUAGAAAAUCACUAUGAUUCAGAGGCACUUAACAGACUGAUACAUGCUGAGCUUCAAAGAUAGCGUGAUAGUGUAAACUUUGUAAAUGGCAGGAAUGUAGAACUUAAAGGGGGAGAGGUAAUAGAAUGCUAAACUGUAUUAUGUAGUUCAGCCACUAGGUGGCAUUGUGUGAAACAUACCUUAGUUAAAUUAACCUCUGUCAUACCUGGCAAAGUAUUAAAGGAUCCUACAGUGCUCA